UACGUAGGGGGCAAGCGUUGUCCGGAAUCAUUGGGCGUAAAGAGCGUGUAGGCGGCCAGAUAAGUCCGCUGUGAAAUCUCGAGGCUCAACUUCGAGCUGUCGGUGGAAACUGUCUGGCUAGAGUCCGGAAGAGGAGAAUGGAAUUCCUGGUGUAGCGGUGAAAUGCGCAGAUAUCAGGAGGAACACCGGUGGCGAAGGCGGUUCUCUGGGCCUUACCUGACGCUGAGGAGCGAAAGCAUGGGGAGUAAACAGG
rnacentral:rRNA from 1 species